rnacentral:rRNA from 1 species
GACGAACCGUGCGAACGUUGUUCGGAAUCACUGGGCUUAAAGGGCGCGUAGGCGGAUCAGCAAGUCCGGGGUGAAAUCUUUCGGCUCAACCGGAAAAGUGCCUCGGAUACUGCUGGUCUGGAGUGAGGUAGGGGCCGCGGGAACUCCGGUGGAGCCGGUGAAAUGCGUUGAUAUCGGAAGGAACGCCGGUGGCGAAAGCGCGCGGCUGGCCCCUCAACUGACGCGUGAUGCGCGAAAGCUAGGGAGCAAACGGG